GACGAACGCUGGCGGCGUGCCUAAUACAUGCAAGUUGAGCGCUGAAGGUUGGUACUUGUACCAACUGGAUGAGCAGCGAACGGGUGAGUAACGCGUGGGGAAUCUGCCUUUGAGCGGGGGACAACAUUUGGAAACGAAUGCUAAUACCGCAUAAAAACUUUAAACACAAGUUUUAAGUUUGAAAGAUGCAAUUGCAUCACUCAAAGAUGAUCCCGCGUUGUAUUAGCUAGUUGGUGAGGUAAAGGCUCACCAAGGCGAUGAUACAUAGCCGACCUGAGAGGGUGAUCGGCCACAGUGGGACUGAGACACGGCCCAAACGCCUACGGGAGGCAGCAGUAGGGAAUCUUCGGCAAUGGACGAAAGGCUGACCGAGCAACGCCGCGUGAGUGAAGAAGGGUUUCGGAUCGUAAAACUCUGUUGGUAGAGAAGAACGUUGGUGAGAGUGGAAAGCUCAUCAAGUGACGGUAACUACCCAGAAAGGGACGGCUAACUACGUG
rnacentral:rRNA from 1 species